GUGAAUCAUCGAAUCUUUGAACGCACCUUGCGCUCCUUGGUAUUCCGAGGAGCAUGCCUGUUUGAGUGUCAUUAAAUUCUCAAUCUCUACAGCUUUAUGUUGGUAGAAGAUUGGAUGUGGGGGUCUUGUGAGCUUUUUGAUAAAACUUACUCCCCUGAAAUUUAUUAGCUAGAAUGCCUCAGCAAUCUGACUAUCAGUGUGAUAAUUAUCAGUACUGAACGGUUGAUGCAUAAGGGAAUCUGCUAUCUAACUGUCGCAAGACAAUAUGAAUACAUUUGACCUCAAAUCAGGUAGGACUAC
rnacentral:misc_RNA from 1 species